ACUGGCCAGAGUGGACAGGAGACCUCGGGCAGCUGUACGUCGCAAUUAAACUGACCUUGUCCAAGUUCACUUUCUUUCUUGUCCCCUCCAAGCAAACAGACACUAUAAUAAUCUGCACACCACAGCAGGAGAAAGACAAUAUCCAGGACACUGACCCCAAGUACUCCCUGCUUUCCAAGCACCUUGCCAGCCACUGCCAUCGUGGUCUGCUGGUUGCCCAGCAACGGACUUCUAAAGCAGAGAAGGCGCAGAAACUCAGCAGGAAGCAGAGUGCCUGGCUCUGGGCUGGGCAGGAGCCUACUGCAGCUUCCUGGUGGACUUGUAUCCUCCUUUACCACUGAACCCUUGGGACAGGUAUCAUGAUGGCUUCACAAAGGGAUCCUCUGGACUACAUGUCAGAGCCAGAGGACCCAAAAUGCACUGCUCAGCUGAGGACCUGCAGGGUGGCAAGAGUGCACAGCCUUUGCACCUCUUUCCAGAGCCCUGAGCACCCUCACUUUUCCAACUCAUCUAAUUAAACCAGGGAGUGGGGGGCUUCAACUCAGUGCCAGCUGGCCCCCACUCUCUCCUUUACAUCACCUGUGUCUGAACUCAGCCAAGACAGCACCUAAGAGCCCUUCCAGCAAAGGCAGUAGGAAUAGCAUAGAAAUAAAUCUAUGAUAUAUUGUUAAAAGAAAAAAAAUGCAUGUCAUCCUCUAUUGGCUUUUUAUUAUAAGGCAUUCAGGCUCAUUUCUUAAAAAAUAAGAAAAUCUUUGGUGGGGGAGGGCACAAACUUAAUUACAAGAUGAAUAUGUUGGAAAACCUAAUAAACAGGAUGAUAUCGAAGUUAAUAAUAA